AGAGUUUGAUCCUGGCUCAGAUUGAACGCUGGCGGCAGGCCUAACACAUGCAAGUCGAGCGGAUGAAGGGAGCUUGCUCCCUGAUUCAGCGGCGGACGGGUGAGUAAUGCCUAGGAAUCUGCCUGGUAGUGGGGGACAACGUCUCGAAAGGGACGCUAAUACCGCAUACGUCCUACGGGAGAAAGUGGGGGCUCUUCGGACCUCACGCUAUCAGAUGAGCCUAGGUCGGAUUAGCUAGUUGGUGGGGUAAUGGCUCACCAAGGCGACGAUCCGUAACUGGUCUGAGAGGAUGAUCAGUCACACUGGAACUGAGACACGGUCCAGACUCCUACGGGAGGCAGCAGUGGGGAAUAUUGGACAAUGGGCGAAAGCCUGAUCCAGCCAUGCCGCGUGUGUGAAGAAGGUCUUCGGAUUGUAAAGCACUUUAAGUUGGGAGGAAGGGCACUGACCUAAUACGUCUGUGUUUUGACGUUACCGACAGAAUAAGCACCGGCUAACUCUGUGCCAGCAGCCGCGGUAAUAC
rnacentral:rRNA from 1 species